GACGAACGCUGGCGGCGUGCUUAACACAUGCAAGUCGAACGAAGUGGCGAACGGGUGAGUAACGCGUAAUCAACCUGCCCUUCAGAGGGGGACAACAGUUGGAAACGACUGAUAAUACCGAAUACGGAAGGUGGGGGUUGCGUUUGAUUAGCUAGUUGGCGGGGGAACGGCCCACCAAGGCCAGGAUCAGUAGCCGGUCUGAGAGGAUGAACGGCCAAAUUUGGACUGAGACACGGCCCAGACUCCUACGGGAGGCAGCAGUGGGGAAUCUUCCGCAAUGGACGAAAGUCUGACGGAGCAACGCCGCGUGAGUGAUGACGGCCUUCGGGUUGUAAAGCUCUGUUAAUCGGGACGCGGUACCGGAAUAGAAAGCCACGGCUAACUACGUGCCAGCAGCCGCGGUAAUAC
rnacentral:rRNA from 1 species